rnacentral:rRNA from 1 species
UGAGGAAUAUUGGUCAAUGGGCGGGAGCCUGAACCAGCCAAGUCGCGUGAGGUAAGACGGUCCUAUGGAUUGUAAACCUCUUUUGUCGGGGAGCAAAGAGGCCACGUGUGGUCAAAAGCGAGAGUACCCGAAGAAAAAGCAUCGGCUAACUCCGUGCC